rnacentral:other from 1 species
GACAUCCUGCGCGGUGCGUGAUGAGCCUUUUUUAUCCUGACAUAUGUUAUAGGGGAUGUCGGAUCAGUAUGUGGUUUGCAGGCCUCCCGACUGCUGUCUGCGGUUGGAUGUUGGAAGCAGUAAAGCAAGCUGGAGACAACCCACCUGCUAAAUUGGUGCAGGUUAUAACUUGGCUCCCACCGCCUCGCGGGAUCGAA